UGACAUGGCCGUGGGGGCACAUUAGGGCGUUGUAAGGCCUCUCCCCCAAUCCAAUUUUGAGAUAGUCGGACUUUCAUUUUAGGUAUGUUAGGAUGGGGUUCUCCCCCCGCUCCUAACAUAACUUCGUUUCAGGCAUUUGGAGGGGUCAUAUUCAGUCAUGACAAAUCCAUGCCAGAUGGGAAGAGUACGUCAAGUAGAAAGAAAUUUAGAUUCAAGGUGAAAUCGUAAGUGAUACAUUUACAGAUUUUUCGAGUUCCACGGUUGCAGGAGGUCUGCUCCUCCUUGAGGCCCUCCGGUGAUGGAGUCGAUGGUCCCGAUGGGGGGCCGGUCCCCGGGUUGCUCCUCCCUUCUUGGCGGUUCAGGCUACGGAAGGGCCCUUGGCCGAUCUCCUCUACCCUCAGGCC
rnacentral:lncRNA from 1 species